AGCGAACGCUGGCGGCGUGCUUAACACAUGCAAGUCGAGUGCGCGGUUGUAGCAAUACAACUGGCGCACGGCGCACGGGUGCGUAACACGUGGAUAAUCUGCCCUUCGAUGGGGAAUAACCUCGCGAAAGCGAGGCUAAUUCCGCAUAACAUUCCGAGAACCCCGGUUUUCGGAUUCAAAGGCGUAAGUCGUCGGAGGUGGAGUCCGCGCACGAUUAGCUAGUUGGUAGGGUAAUGGCCUACCAAGGCUUUGAUCGUUAGCUGGUCUGAGAGGAUGG
rnacentral:rRNA from 1 species